CUUCAGUGAUGAUACGAUGACGAGUCGGAAUAAGGCCCUUCCUGCCUCUGGGGUCACUGGAUCAGGGUCAUGUUUUGUGACCCUGGUUCUUGCCCCAAAGAGUGGGUGGUCUUAACCAGUUGAAGACAUAGAGGCAUUUGUCUGAGAAGG
ensembl:snoRNA SNORD15 Small nucleolar RNA SNORD15